rnacentral:rRNA from 1 species
AUGCAGCUGGCGGCAGAGCCCGUCGGCGAUUAUAGCAUUAUCAAUUCGACAGGUGGGUCGUCGGAGACGACGCGGACGCCCACUGCGCAAUCGCGGCGUCGACGGCGACGUACGGCCGGCGGCGGGGUCUUGUCUCUCGCGAGUCUCGACGCCGCGUACACAUGGGUGGGUGAGCUGGGGCCUGGGGCGGAGAGAACAAGGAAUCAGUGCGCUGAACUAGCCCGGAAUAUGGUGAUCAUGUUAGUUUGGAGGAUUUGGCAUGUGCGCACCGACAUGAUUCAUGGUAAGGAAGCUGCGCCGGUUGGAGCAUCCACUGACUUUCUACCAAGCUACUUUGGUUCCAUCUAUGUUUCAAGGAGAUACUCCAUGGAAGAAAUUAUCAAGGAAGCAAAAUGGAGAAGAAAGAGAUCAAAUGUGAGGCACCAGAUGAAAGAGCGCAAGACGGUAUCCCGUACCGCACGCUAUCCACACCGUGGUGUCCAACGCUCCAACUAUUAUAAAGGGGCCGGUACCAGAAUCACAAAAGAGAGCACACCAGAACCUCAUGUCCGCACCAUAAGCCAUUCACAAACCAUGGCUGCCGCCAUUUUCCAUCUCAUCUCCAUAGCUAGCCACCAUCAUCUUCACCAUCGCAGCAAUUCACCUCUUGUAAUCGUGUAUCGCAUCCGGCAACCACUGUAA